CCUCCACCGUCGGACUGAGGUGAGCGGCAGAGAAAUUGUGGGGGAGAGGAAGAGCGGGCUGUCGACUGGUAGCGCCGCGGGUGGCCAGGGAAGAAGGGACCGAAUCCCGUGGCUACCUGAGUGGGAAGGACGGUCUGGUGGCAGCAAUAGGUAGGUGAUGUGCUGCUCGUCCUUGGUGGCGCCGUGGAGCUUGGGACGGGAUCUCGGUCCUGUAGGAGAGGCCCCGUCCGAGCAGAACGGUGGCAGGGGCGGCGCAGGAGGUAGUAGUAGCACCGGCCGUCCGGCCGCUUUUACAGGCCACUGUUCCCUUAAUCAACCGUGAUGUUGAUGCAUCAGAGCUGUUGAAAGAAAAGGUACAGUUAUCUCUUUCAUGUGUAGCAGCACAUGGAUAAAGACGAAUUCAUCUUUCAUGUUACCUUGGAUAUGCAUUUUUCCCUUUCAAGAACAGAUAAUUAGGCAUUCAGUUUGGUACUCUCACUAGUAGCGGGUGGUGAUGUUGAUGCGUCAUAUAGCUGCUAAAGAGUUUUUUUUAAUGCAAAGACCUUGGUAGCUAAAGUGUGUGUGGGGAAAAUGUGUUGGGUUGUUAAUAUUCCAUAGGACCCGAUUUCUAUACCAGCUCUUUGUUCUUGCUACUUGUUGGAAAUAAUCAAGGUUUAUGUGGUAGUUCUGAAGAAUUGAGUGAACCAGCGUAUGAUUAUGGUAGUUGUGUAUGUUUCCUGUCUAGUCCUACACACUGAUUUUGGCAAUUAGUGGGUAUAUAGUUUUUGCUUAUGUAUCUCGAGUGUGAGUCUGUUACUGUAAUAUACUGAUAUAUUAGAAGAGGAUGCAAAUGACCACUAAUCACUGGAAAAUCAAGACAUUUUCAUCUGAAUAUUUGUGUAUGCUAAUUACCAGGACCUGCAUCUGGCCCCCACCGAAACCACAUAAUAGCUAAGUAAAAAUAUUUAAGAUUCUGUUUGAUUUUAUGACAUGUUCAUAGCUUGUGUCUACAAAUUAGUUUUCUGUACUUUACAGGGAAAUGAUUCCUUUUUUAGGGGAAAAAGCUCAUACUUUACUCAUAAACAAUGUUUACAUCAUCUUGCAAAGCAAGUUGACGGCACAGGAUCAAACCAGCGGUUUACAGGAACCUGAACUACUAGCUUGUUGUGCCAGAGUAUGUGCCACAACGUUGAGCUUUCUCCUAGUAUGGGAAACAGAGCAAACUGGUACAUAUAGGGGAACCAACUCCAGCGAGCACAGUUCCCUGAUCGUUACGAGCAACCACGCCGAUAGCAGACUUCCCCAAAUGGUGAGAAAAAGCAGCAUCAACGUUCAUCUUUGACAGCCUUUUGGUUCGAGGGAGACGAGCUUUCAGCCUCCGUCCUUUUCCUGGAAAUGAUUCUUUCAAAAGAAAACAAUGGGGCAAGGCAAUUGAAUUCUAUUCCGAUGCACUUGAAUUGAAUUGCACAAACGGGACAUACCAUUGCAACAGAGCAGCUGCUUAUCUGGAACUUGCCGGUACAUGUAAGUAGGCUACUCCCUCUGCACCCCCGCAUCAAUUUUAUCCGAUCGGAGGGAGUACGUUGAAUCUAUGCAGUCUCAAGCAAGCCGAAGUGGAUAGCGACCAGGCUUUAGUGUUGAAUAAAAAGAAUGUGAAAGCAUAUCUACGGCGCGCGGAGCAACGGGCGCAUCCACCGGCCUCUUACUUCCUCAUGGGAACUCCUCAGCCGCUCUCACGGGGAUGCGGGCAAGAUGUGGGGGCGGUGGGGGCACAUG